GUCGUCGACUCGUCGCUGUUGCUACUGCCGACCAUGGAGAGCUUCAAUGAAAAGUGCACACUCAGCCAAGGAGAUGAUAAGUCUCAGGGUGACAAAACAUUAAGAUAUUCCGAGCCAGGCCUCCCAGAGCACAUUUGGCACCAUAUCCUUUCCCUAAUGCCAUUGCGAGAUGCUGCCCGUGCUGCUUGUGUA